AACGGUAUGAUAUACUAUAGGAGUAGUUUUUGUUCGGUAAUCUGUGGUAGCUUGUUUCAAAUAAACAUCUUCCAGAUAUACACCAUUCAAGUAAUUGCAAAAUAUGUGUUGAUACACAAGGAGGAUUUUUAUUAUGGAAACAGGUACAGUAAAAUGGUUUAACUCAGAAAAAGGAUUUGGAUUCAUCACUGCAGAAAACGGAAACGAUGUAUUCGUUCAUUUCUCAGCUAUCCAAGGCGACGGAUUCAAAACUUUAGAAGAAGGCCAAGCAGUAACUUUCGAUGUUGAAGAAGGCCAACGCGGACCUCAAGCAACAAACGUUACUAAAGCUUAAUUAACCUAUACUAAAAAAUAAACGCCCAGACAUUUGCGUGUCUGGGCGUUUUUG
rnacentral:sRNA from 2 species